AACGAACGCUGGCGGCAGGCUUAACACAUGCAAGUCGAACGGGUGUAGCAAUUCAUCAGUGGCAGACGGGUGAGUAACACGUGGGAACCUUCCUAGGGGUACGGAACAACUCAGGGAAACUUGAGCUAAUACCGUAUACGUCCGUGAGGAGAAAGAUUUAUCGCCCUUAGACGGGCCCGCGUCGGAUUAGCUAGUUGGUGGGGUAACGGCCUACCAAGGCGACGAUCCGUAGCUGAUCUUAGAGGAUGAUCAGCCACACUGGGACUGAGACACGGCCCAGACUCCUACGGGAGGCAGCAGUGGGGAAUCUUGGACAAUGGGCGCAAGCCUGAUCCAGCCAUGCCGCGUGAGUGAAGAAGGUCUUCGGAUUAUAAAGCUCUUUUGCCAGGGACGAUAAUGACGGUACCUGGAGAAUAAGCCCCGGCAAACUUCGUGCCAGCCGCCGCCGUAA
rnacentral:rRNA from 1 species